rnacentral:tRNA from 1 species
GAGGGGGGCUUGCCAGCAACGAAAAUUGCUAACCCUCGUUACCUCGGUUGGAUUCCGGAGCCCUCUCGCCAU